AUUGAACGCUGGCGGCAUGCCUUACACAUGCAAGUCGAACGGCAGCAUGGAAGAGCUUGCUCUUCUGAUGGCGAGUGGCGAACGGGUGAGUAAAGCAUCGGAACGUACCGUGUAGUGGGGGAUAACGUAGCGAAAGUUACGCUAAUACCGCAUACGCACUGAGGUGGAAAGCAGGGGAUCGCAAGACCUUGCGCUAUACGAGCGGCCGAUGUCAGAUUAGCUAGUUGGUAGGGGAAAGGCCUACCAAGGCGACGAUCUGUAGCGGGUCUGAGAGGAUGAUCUGCCACACUGGGACUGAGACACGGCCCAGACUCCUACGGGAGGCAGCAGUGGGGAAUUUUGGACAAUGGGGGAAACCCUGAUCCAGCCAUGCCGCGUGAGUGAAGAAGGCCUUCGGGUUGUAAAGCUCUUUCGGCUGGGAAGAAAUCGCACAGACUAAUACUCUGUGUGGAUGACGGUACCAGCACAAGAAGCACCGGCUAACUACGUGCCAGCCGCCGCCGUAA
rnacentral:rRNA from 1 species